rnacentral:rRNA from 1 species
AACGAACGCUGGCGACAGGCCUAACACAUGCAAGUCGAACGAAGUCUUCGGACUUAGUGGCGCACGGGUGAGUAACACGUGGGAAUAUACCUUACGCUGGGGGAUAACAUCGGGAAACUGAUGCUAAUACCGCAUACGCCCUUCGGGGGAAAGAUUUAUCGGCGAAAGAUUAGCCCGCGUCCGAUUAGCUAGUUGGUGAGGUAAUGGCUCACCAAGGCUCCGAUCGGUAGCUGGUCUGAGAGGAUGACCAGCCACACUGGGACUGAGACACGGCCCAGACUCCUACGGGAGGCAGCAGUGGGGAAUAUUGGACAAUGGGCGCAAGCCUGAUCCAGCCAUGCCGCGUGAGUGAUGAAGGCCUUAGGGUUGUAAAGCUCUUUCAACCACGACGAUGAUGACGGUAGUGGGAGAAGAAGCCCCGGCUAACUUCGUG